rnacentral:rRNA from 1 species
UACCCGCUGAACUUAAGCAUAUCAAUAAGCGGAGGAAAAGAAACUAACAAGGAUUCCCCUAGUAACUGCGAGUGAAGCGGGAAAAGCUCAAAUUUGAAAUCUGGCUGUCUUUGGCAGUCCGAGUUGUAAUUUCGAGAAGUGUUACCCGUGCUGGACCGUACAUAAGUCUUCUGGAAAGGAGCAUCACAGAGGGUGAAAAUCCCGUCUAUGGUACGGACUCCCAGUGCAUUGUGGUAUGCUCUCAACGAGUCGAGUUGUUUGGGAAUGCAGCUCAAAAUGGGUGGUAAAUUCCAUCUAAAGCUAAAUAUUGGUGUGAGACCGAUAGCGAACAAGUACCGUGAGGGAAAGAUGAAAAGAACUUUGGAAAGAGAGUUAAACAGUACGUGAAAUUGUCAAUAGGGAAACGCUUGAAGUCAGUCGCGUUGCUCUGGGAUCAGCCUUCCUUUUGGUUGGUGUACUUCCUGAGUGACGGGUCAGCAUCAGUUUUGACUGCUGGAAAAAGGCUUAGGGAAUGUGGCUCUUUCGGGAGUGUUAUAGCCCUUUGUCAUAUACAGUGGUUGGGACUGAGGAACUCAGCACGCCGCAAGGCAGGUCUUCGGACACUUUCGUGCUUAGGAUGNUGGCAUAAUGGCUUUAAGCGACCCGUCUUGAAACACGGACCAAGGAGUSUAACAUGCAUGCGAGUCUUUGGGUGUCAAACCCAUGGGCGUAAUGAAAGUGAAAGUUGAGAACUCUGUCGUGGAGUGCAUCGACGCCCAGCCCAGAGCUUUUGUGACGGUGCUGCGGUUGAGCACGUAUGUUGGGACCCGAAAGAUGGUGAACUAUGCCUGAAUAGGGCGAAGCCAGAGGAAACUCUGGUGGAGGCUCGUAGCGAUUCUGACGUGCAAAUCGAUCGUCAAAUUUGGGUAUAGGGGCGAAAGACUAAUCGAACCAUCUAAUAUCUGGUUCCUGCCNAAGUUUCCCUCAAGAA